UCCUCGUUAGCUCAGUUGGUAGAGCGCUCGGCUGUUAACCGAUAGGUCGUUGGUUCAAGUCCAACACGAGGAGCCA
rnacentral:tRNA from 2 species